GACGAACGCUGGCGGCGUGCUUAACACAUGCAAGUCGAACGGAGUGGCGAACGGGUGAGUAACACGUGGGUGAUCUGCCUUGCACUUCGGGAUACGCUUGGGAAACUGGGUCUAAUACCGGAUAGUGCAAGAUGAGCUCGCGGCCUAUCAGCUUGUUGGUGUGGUAAUGGCCUACCAAGGCGUCGAAGGGUAGCCGGCCUGAGAGGGUUGACGGCCACAUUGGGACUGAGAUACGGCCCGAGCGCCUACUGUAGGCAGCAGUGGUGAAGAUGGCACAAUGGGCGGAAGCCUGAUGCAGCGACGCCGCGUGGGGGAUGAAGGCCUUCGGGUUGUAAACUCCUUUCGACAGGGACGCGGUACCUGUAUAAGAAGCACCGGCUAACUACGUGCCAGCAGCCGCGGUAAUUC
rnacentral:rRNA from 1 species